rnacentral:rRNA from 1 species
GGUGCACUCGGCGGCUGCUGCGUGUGCAUAUCGAGGUUCCGCGACGGGGAGGACAUACGGAGGCUGCCGUGCGGCCACGCCUUCCACCGGCAAUGCGUCAACAGGUGGUUGGCGCUGUGCCGCCGGACGUGCCCGCUCUGCCGCCUGCACGUCGGCGGCGUGGCAGAUGAGCACCAGCUCAGCGACGACCUCGUCAUCUGGUUCUCUUCUCUCUUCGUCGCCGGCUUGUAG